UGAUUUGACAUGAGGGAGGGGUCAAGAGGUUGAGGUGUGUACAAGGGACGAAGGCGCGUCCUUCUCGUUACGUCAUCAGCGCGAGCCCCAGACCGAGUGGAUCGAUCGAAAUGAAGGAGCAGAGACAUGCGGGUGAUGGAUCACAGAGUAAUCGAAGCCCAGACCAGUUGUGGGAAAUUGGACUCCUGCAAAACCCUGUCACUCCUCCAGUCCUAUCUGAGAUUGCACAAGACGGCGACUGGGACACAGACAGUAUCUCUGACCAGCCGUGGACAGGAAUCGUAGUUCCUCCAGUCAAAUGCCCCUUAACUUAAGAACUUAUAGGCCCAAAUUCAAACUUCUUUAACCCAAACUCACACUCUCAAAACUAUGGAAGAGACCAGUAUUUAUAAGUUUUAAAUUUUGUGCUGCUUCAUUCUUAAUUGACACUAAAUCAGUCAUUGAAAUGACUAGUGACCAAAUGAUCCAUUUACAAGCAAAUUAACAUCCAAGUCAAUAAAAAACAAACUUAAGGUGACAUUGCAUGCUUGUUUUAUUUUCUGUAUUGGCUAUAUUUAAAGCAGAAAAUGGCUAGUAUAACAACUUGUGUUCUCUUAACACAUUCAUUAAGAUAUACAAUUUUACAUUAUGUAACACGUUGUGUUCUCUACACAUACACAGUAAAUUUCAAAACCAUAAGAACAUUUACCAAUGUAUAAAAGGUUUUUUUUCCUGAACAUGUACAAUUCCAUACAUUUAGUAUAAUUUAAAAUUCUGUUUAAACCGUUGUCAAAUUGAAUGGCUUGGUUGGGGUUGGUAUUGUCUGAAUUAAAUCAAUUACAUUUUAA